rnacentral:rRNA from 1 species
UAAGGAAUAUUGCUCAAUGGGAGAAAUCCUGAAGCAGCAACGCCGCGUGGAGGAUGAAGGGUCUAUGACUUGUAAACUCCUGUAAAGAAGGAAAAAAUUCCCAUUUGAUGGGAGAUGAUGGUACUUCUGGAGUAAGCCCCGGCUAACUACGUGCCAGCAGCCGCGGUAAUACGUAGGGGGCAAGCGGUGUCCGGAUUUACUGGGUGUAAAGGGUGCUCAGGCGGAUUUGUAAGUCAGAGGUGAAAUCUUACAGCUUAACUGUGAAACUGCCUUUGAUACUGCAAGCCUAGAGUAUGGAAGAGAGUGAUGGAAUAUCUGGUGUAGCAGUGAAAUGCGUAGAUAUCAGAUAGAACACCAAUGGCGAAGGCAGUCACUUGGUCCAUUACUGACGCUAAAGCACGAAAGCGUGGGUAGCAAACA